rnacentral:rRNA from 2 species
UACGAAGGUCCCGAGCGUUGUUCGGAAUCACUGGGCGUAAAGGGAGCGUAGGCGGCGCGGUAAGUCAGAUGUGAAAUCCCGGGGCUCAACCCCGGAACUGCAUCCGAUACUGCCGUGCUAGAGGACUGGAGAGGCAACUGGAAUUCUCGGUGUAGCAGUGAAAUGCGUGGAUAUCGAGAGGAACACUCGUGGCGAAAGCGAGUUGCUGGACAGUAUCUGACGCUGAGGCUCGAAGGCCAGGGUAGCGAAAGGG